UGAAUGUCUUCGCGGUGGACUUGAUUUUACCAAAGAUGAUGAGAACGUGAACUCACAACCAUUUAUGCGUUGGAGAGAUCGUUUCUUAUUUUGUGCCGAAGCACUUUUUAAAGCACAGACUGAAACAGGUGAAAUCAAAGGGCAUUACUUGAAUGCUACUGCAGGUACAUGCGAAGAAAUGAUCAAAAGAGCUGUAUUUGCUAGAGAAUUGGGCGUUCCGAUCGUAAUGCAUGACUACUUAACGGGGGGAUUUACCGCAAAUACUACCUUGGCUCAUUAUUGCCGAGAUAAUGGUCUACUUCUUCACAUCCACCGUGCAAUGCAUGCGGUUAUUGAUAGACAGAAGAAUCAUGGUAUCCACUUCCGGGUAUUAGCAAAAGCGUUACGUAUGUCUGGUGGAGAUCAUAUUCACUCUGGUACCGUAGUAGGUAAACUUGAAGGUGAAAGAGACAUAACUUUGGGCUUUGUUGAUUUACUGCGUGAUGAUUUUGUUGAACAAGAUAGAAGUCGCGGUAUUUAUUUCACUCAAGAUUGGGUCUCUUUACCAGGUGUUCUACCUGUGGCUUCAGGAGGUAUUCACGUUUGGCAUAUGCCUGCUCUGACCGAGAUCUUUGGGGAUGAUUCCGUACUACAGUUCGGUGGAGGAACUUUAGGACAUCCUUGGGGUAAUGCGCCAGGUGCCGUAGCUAAUCGAGUAGCUCUAGAAGCAUGUGUAAAAGCUCGUAAUGAAGGACGUGAUCUUGCUCGGGAAGGUAAUGAGAUUAUUCGCGAGGCUUGCAAAUGGAGCCCGGAACUAGCUGCUGCUUGUGAGGUAUGGAAAGAGAUCGUAUUUAAUUUUGCAGCAGUGGACGUUUUGGAUAAGUAAAAACAGUAGACAUUAGCAGAUAAAUUAGCAGGAAAUAAAGAAGGAUAAGGAGAAAGAACUCAAGUAAUUAUCCUUCGUUCUCUUAAUUGAAUUACAUUACAAUUUAAUUCGGCUCAAUCCUUUUAGUAAAAGAUUGGGCCGAAUACAACUAAGAUUCUAUUGCAUAUAUUUUGAUCAAGAUUUGAAAUACAAAAUCUAGAAAACUAAAUCAAAAUCUAAGACUCAAAUCUUUCUAUUAUUGUCUUGGAUCCACAAUUAAUCCUACGGAUCCUUAGGAUUGGUAUAUUCUUUUCUAUCCUGUAGUUUGUAGUUUCCCUGAAUCAAGCCAAGUAUUCCAACUCUUUCUACCCAUCCUGUAUAUUGUCCCCUUUGUUCCGUGUUGAAAUAGAACCUUAAUUUAUUACUUAUUAUUAGAUUUUAGAUUGUUAGAUUAGUUAGUGAUUAGAUAUUAGUAUUAGACGAGAUUUUACGAAUUUUUUUUAUUUCUUUAUAUUUAUAAGAGAGGACAAAUCUCUUUUUUUCGAUGCGAAUUUGACACGACAUAGGAGAAGCCGCCCUUUAUCAAAAAUUCUAUUAUUUUUAUAUUCUUUUUAAUAAUAAAAGGGGGUUCCAACAUAUUAAUAUAUAGUGAAGUGUUCCCCCAGAUUCAGAACUUUUUUUGAAUACUCACAAUCCGUAUUAGUUAAUAAUCCUAGUGAUUGGAUUUCUAUGCUUAGUCUGAUAGGAAAUAAGAUAUUCAAAUAAAGAAUUUUAUAGCGAAUGACUAUUCAUCUAUUGUAUUUUCAUGCAAAUAGGGGGCAAGAAAACUCUAUGGAAAGAUGGUGGUUUAAUUCGAUGUUGUUUAAGAAGGAGUUCGAACGCAGGUGUGGGCUAAAUAAAUCAAUGGGCAGUCUUGGUCCUAUUGAAAAUACCAGUGAAGAUCCAAAUCUAAAAGUGAAAAACAUUCAUAGUUGCAGUAAUGUUGAUUAUUUAUUCGGCGUUAAAGACAUUUGGAAUUUCAUCUCUAAUGACACUUUUUUAGUUAGUGAUAGGAAUGGGGACAGUUAUUCCAUCUAUUUUGAUAUUGAAAAUCAUAUUUUUGAGGUUGACAACGAUCAUUCUUUUCUGAGUGAACUAGAAAGUUCUUUUUAUAGUUAUCGAAACUCGAGUUAUCUGAAUAAUGGAUUUAGGGGCGAAGAUCCCUACUAUAAUUCUUACAUGUAUGAUACUCAAUAUAGUUGGAAUAAUCACAUUAAUAGUUGCAUUGAUAAUUAUCUUCAGUCUCAAAUCUGUAUAGAUACUUCCAUUAUAAGUGGUAGUGAGAGUAACGGUGACAGUUACAUUUAUAGGGCCAUUUGUAGUGGUCAAAGUCUAAAUAGUAGUGAAAACGAGGGUUCCAGUAGACGAACUCGCACAAAGGACAGUGAUUUAACUAUAAGAGAAAGUUCUAAUGAUCUCGAGGUAACUCAAAAAUACAAGCAUUUGUGGGUUCAAUGCGAAAAUUGUUAUGGAUUAAAUUAUAAGAAAUUUUUGAAAUCAAAAAUGAAUAUUUGUGAACAAUGUGGAUAUCAUUUGAAAAUGAGUAGUUCGGAUAGAAUUGAACUUUUGAUCGAUCCGGGUACUUGGGAUCCUAUGGAUGAAGACAUGGUCUCGCUGGAUCCCAUUGAAUUUCAUUCGGAGGAGGAGCCUUAUAAGGACCGUAUUGAUUCUUAUCAAAGAAAGACAGGAUUAACCGAGGCUGUUCAAACAGGCAUAGGCCAACUAAACGGCAUUCCCGUAGCAAUUGGGGUUAUGGAUUUUCAGUUUAUGGGGGGUAGUAUGGGAUCCGUAGUCGGAGAGAAAAUCACCCGUUUGAUUGAACACGCUGCCAAUCAAAAUUUACCUCUUAUGAUAGUGUGUGCUUCUGGGGGGGCGCGCAUGCAGGAAGGAAGUUUGAGCUUGAUGCAAAUGGCUAAAAUAUCGUCUGCUUUAUAUGAUUAUCAAUUAAAUAAAAAAUUAUUUUAUGUAUCAAUCCUUACAUCUCCGACAACUGGUGGAGUGACAGCUAGUUUUGGUAUGUUGGGGGAUAUCAUUAUUGCCGAACCCAAUGCCUACAUUGCAUUUGCAGGUAAAAGAGUAAUUGAACAAACAUUGAAUAAAACAGUACCCGAAGGUUCACAAGCAGCUGAAUACUUAUUCCAGAAGGGUUUAUUCGACCUAAUUGUACCACGUAAUCUUUUAAAAAGCGUUCUGAGUGAGUUAUUUAAGCUCCACGCCUUUUUUCCUUUGAAUCAAAAGUCAAGCAAAAUCAAGUAGAGCACUAAGUUCAAUUAUUUUUUUUGUGUUUGUAGCAAAAAGUAGUUAGUUUAUCGGAAUCAAAGUAAAUAAGAUAAUAAUGGCCUUUUCUUUGGUGAUAGAAGAUCGAAUUGUAGAAAGAAUUAAAACGAAAGUUGAGGAUAACUCUUUUUUUGACCUAUAUUCCUGAUUACGAAUCAAGAAACCUUUAUCACCAAGAGUGAGUUCUUCCUUUCGUGAAAUUAGUAAAAUAAAACGAAUUUGGUCUUGUCUUAGGUAUAUAAUUUGAAAUUUCAAUAGAGAUAAUAGAGUUUUGUAUCUUUCUCUAUCUACCGAAAAACCAUUUUAGCUAAAAAUCCAUGUUGGGUCGGAUUCGAAUGAAUCCGUCGAUAAUCUGUAAAAAACUCUUUAUCUAUUUUUAGAAAAGUAGAAGACAAGAACAAAAGACAAAGAAAUGAAGAAAAAUAAUAAAGUUUAUUAUCAUACAUAUCUUUCUCAUGGAGGAGAUGAAUAAGUCCAUUUAUUUAGUUCUACAGUUCUACAUUCUUUGCACUUAUUCUUAUUAUACGUACUCAGUUAGAUUUAGAUAUAUCGAUACUUCGAUCUAUACUAAGAAUUUCAAAUUCUUCAAAUUCUAUUAAUAAUAAAUAUUAUCUAAUAUCUAAUUAGAAUUCAAAUUCUUAAUUUAAUUAUAAUUAUUACAAGAUAUCUUUAUUUAUAUAAUAACAUAAUAACAGAUACAAAUAGUAAAUCGAGGUACCCCUUCUAUGACAAAUUUGAACCUUCCAUCUAUUUUUGUGCCGUUAGUAGGCCUAGUCUUUCCGGCAAUUGCAAUGGCUUCUUUAUUUCUUCAUGUUCAAAAAAACAAGAUUGUUUAGAUCCGCUGGGACCCAAUCUCAUCCAUUUUUUUUUUGAAAACGUGGACUUGUAUCAUAACACGGAUAUCUAUUUAUUGGAGUAUAGUAUAACAUGUGAUUUCCACCGAACAUAAAGGAAAAAACUCUUAUGCCCGCAGAAACAUGAUAUAUGGAUAUAUCAAUUCUAGCAAUUUUCAAAUAGAUCAGGAUCUCUGGAUGGCUGAAAUGUAGUCGGUGAAUCUAUAUGUAUAUCGAUAUGUAUAGUGGGAUCGUAUUAAAUAAAGAGUAUGUUAUUAUUUUAGAUUUAACCAAUUUGAUGAAUUACUCCUAAAGGUUGACAUCAAACUAGUGCUAGUUCACCUCAAACUAGUGCUAGUUGAUGAGAGUUACUUCGGAAACAAAAAAGUAAAGUCAAAUUUUUCUGGGGUAUUAUCUCAAUUCCAAUAAAAUGCAAUCGAGUAAAGUAUGACUUGGCGAUCAGACGAUAUAUGGAUAGAACUUAUAACGGGGUCUCGAAAAAUAAGUAAUUUCUGCUGGGCCUUGAUCCUUUUUUUAGGUUCAUUAGGCUUCUUAUUAGUUGGAACUUCCAGUUAUCUUGGUAGAAAUUUGCUAUCUUUUUUUCCGCCUCAGCAAAUCAUUUUUUUCCACAAGGAAUCGUGAUGUCUUUCUACGGAAUUGCGGGUCUCUUUAUUAGCUCUUAUUUGUGGUGCACAAUUUCCUGGAAUGUAGGUAGUGGUUAUGAUCGAUUCGAUAGAAAGGAGGGAAUAGUCUGUAUCUUUCGUUGGGGAUUUCCGGGAAAAAAUCGUCGCAUAUUCCUCCGAUUCCUUAUAAAAGAUAUUCAGUCCGUUAGAAUAGAAGUUAAAGAGGGUAUUUAUGCUCGUCGUGUUCUUUAUAUGGACAUCCGAGGCCAGGGGUCCAUUCCCUUGACCCGUACUGAUGAGAAUUUGACUCCACGAGAAAUUGAACAAAAGGCUGCUGAAUUAGCCUAUUUCUUGCGUGUACCAAUUGAAGUAUUUUGAUAAAUUGAGAAUCAGAACGUUCAUUCAAUUAAAGAAAACGUAUAUGAAAGAACCAUAAAACGAAACUCUUUUUAUGGUCUUUAUGUGCACGCAAUUCAAUAACAAAUAACAAAUCGAAAUAAUAGAUUCAUCUCAGACGGCAAACCAUUUCGAAAGCAAGAAUUUUUUUUAGUUCAAUAUUUGUUGGAAUUGACACUUUAGAUCCAGAUAGAUCGUAUCUUGUAAAUUUGAAAUUCUUUCUUUUGUAUUCUUUAAUGACCAACAAUUGGAUUUCUUAAUUAAAUACUGAGAACUAGCCAAUUUAUCCUUUGCUAGUCAUUUUUUUUUUAUCAUCCUAAUAUCUUUCCCUCAAUUAUUCUAUUCCUGACUAUGGGUAAUCAAUGAAAUUUUUUCGAAAUAUUGGAUAUUUUGAUAGCAAAGGAGUUCUUUCGUCUCAAAAUCUGAAUAAUAUUCAUUACUUAAAGUGGUUCUUUCGGUCAUUCAUCGAAAGGAUACACUUAAUUUUUAAUUUGACCAAUUGAGAUAUCAGGAAACAAUAUUCUCAAUUUCUUCAUUCGAAGUGAAUUCUUAGCCUAUUUCUGUAUUCUUUCUAGAUUCAAAGACUAACCACAAAAUCACAAAGAAAAUAGAUUCAUAAGUUCGAUACCUUGUAUAAAACUCAUGUGUGUAAGAAAUAUUCGAUCGCAUAGAGUGUACGAAUGGGUUGAUUAACAAUUUACAGACGAAAAAAAUGGCAAAAAAGAAAGCAUUCACUCCUCUUUUCUAUCUUGCAUCUAUAGUAUUUUUGCCCUGGUGGAUUUCUUUCUCAGUUAAUAAAUGGCUGGAAUCUUGGGUUACUAAUUGGUGGAAUACUGGGCAAUCCCAAAUUGUCUUGAAUAAUAUUCAAGAAAAGAGUCUUCUAGAAAAAUUCAGAGAAUUAGAGGAACUCCUCUUCUUGGACGAAAUGAUCAAGGAAUACUCGGAAACACAUCUCGAAGAGUUUGGGAUAGGAAUCCAUAAAGAAACGAUCCAAUUAAUCACGAUACAAAAUGAGAAUCGUAUGGAUACGAUUUUGCACUUCUCAACAAAUAUAAUCUGGUUUGGUAUUCUAAGCGGGUAUUCAAUUUUGGGUAAGGAAAAACUUGUUAUUCUUAACUCUUGGGCUCAGGAAUUCCUAUAUAACUUAAGUGACACAGCAAAAGCUUUGUGUAUUCUUCUAGUAAGUGAGUUUUUUCUCGGAUAUCAUUCACCCCCAGGUUGGGAAUUCGUUAUACGCUCUAUCUAUAACGAGGUUGGAGUUGUUGCGAAUGAGCAAACUAUAACUAUUCUUGUUUGCAUCCUUCCAGUAAUUUUUGAUACAUGUUUUAAAUAUUGGCUUUUCCGUUAUUUAACUAGUCUGUCUCCGUCAAUUUUACUGCUUUAUGAUUCAAUAACUGAAUGAUAAAGGAUCCAUUGAUAUUAAUCUAAUCCAAUUAGAAUGCUUAGUACUUUGUAGUUGUACAUAAGCAAAGUAUUGAAAAUCAUAUUUACUCUUCCUAUUUCUAACCAUCGGGAAGAUUCAUCCUAGAUUAUUCCAGCAAAUAGCAGAAUCGUGGCUAGGGAACUAUACUAGCGACCUACCCAAUUUAUUGUAGAAAUUUUCGCGAUCAAUGAUUGGACCAUGCAAACUAGAAAUGCUUUUUCUUGGCUAAAGAAACAGAUUACUCGAUCUAUUUCCGUAUCGCUCAUGAUAUAUAUCUUAACUCGGACGUCCAUUUCAAGUGCAUAUCCCAUUUUUGCACAGCAGGGUUAUGAAAAUCCACGAGAAGCGACUGGGCGUAUUGUAUGUGCCAAUUGCCAUUUAGCUAAUAAGCCCGUGGAAAUUGAGGUUCCACAAGCGGUACUUCCUGAUACUGUAUUUGAAGCAGUUGUUCGAAUUCCUUAUGAUAUGCAACUGAAACAGGUUCUUGCUAAUGGUAAAAAAGGGGGGUUGAACGUCGGAGCUGUUCUUAUUUUACCGGAGGGGUUUGAAUUAGCUCCUCCCGAUCGUAUUUCUCCUGAGAUGAAAGAAAAGAUUGGCAAUUUGUCUUUUCAGAGCUAUCGCCCCAAUAAAACAAAUAUUCUUGUGGUAGGCCCUGUCCCUGGUAAAAAAUAUAGUGAAAUAACCUUCCCUAUUCUUUCCCCGGACCCUGCUACUAAGAAGGAUGUUCACUUCUUAAAAUAUCCUAUAUACGUAGGCGGGAACAGGGGAAGGGGUCAGAUUUAUCCCGACGGCAACAAGAGUAACAAUACAGUUUAUAAUGCUACAGCAGCAGGUAUAGUAAGCAAAAUCAUACGAAAAGAAAAAGGGGGGUAUGAGAUAACCAUAACGGAUGCGUCGGAGGGACGUCAAGUGGUUGAUAUUAUCCCUCCCGGACCAGAACUUCUUGUUUCCGAGGGCGAAUCUAUCAAAUUUGAUCAACCAUUAACGAGUAAUCCUAAUGUAGGCGGAUUUGGUCAGGGAGAUGCAGAAAUAGUACUUCAAGAUCCAUUACGUGUCCAAGGACUU
rnacentral:lncRNA from 1 species